GUCCACGCUGUAAACGAUGAGAACUAGACGUCGGGGAGUUUAAUCUUCUUGGUGUCGCAGCUAACGCAAUAAGUUCUCCGCCUGGGGAGUACGGCCGCAAGGUUAAAACUCAAAGGAAUUGACGGGGGCCCGCACAAGCGGUGGAGCAUGUGGUUCAAUUCGAUGCAACGCGAAAAACCUUACCUACCCUUGACAUCUAUGGAACCUGCUAGAGAUAGCGGGGUGCCUUCGGGAACCAUAAGACAGGUGCUGCAUGGCUGUCGU
rnacentral:rRNA from 1 species